UCCUUAUUGUAGCAACACACUUUUGUAGGGAAGGCAAUCCUGCGCUGCGUUAGCUAAGUUUUCAUGUCAUCGGGUGUAGUUCAUAAAGGUUGAAGAGUAUAUGUUAGGAUGAAGUGUGAAUUCAUGCCAGGAAUAAUAAGUGUGAAGUUUGAUUUCCUCCCUUCUGUAAUAAGCAGCCAAUGAGUUCUCACUGAAGGGGAUAAUUCUCACUGAAACUACAGAAUAAAGCCGCCAGUUAAAAUCAUGGAACGGUUGUGCUCGUGGUUACUGAAGGGAGCUACAAGACCAUUAUUCGUUUCGAAUUCACCAACUCAAAGACGCUUGCCCGCUCCAUCAUAACUCCGUAAGUUUUCCCUCCCUGUGUAGAUCAAACGUCCUGCCUGUAAAUCCUGGGUAUGCCCACAUCAUUAAUGAAUAAGAUGUGUAGAAAACUGUUUAGCCAUAGUUAAAGGCCUUUCAUAAAGAGGCUGUCAUGAUUGCCUGUGCCUCAUGUUUAACACGUAUUGCUUGUUACCGAAUACUACUGUUGUACAUUUAAUAUCUACUAGCCGAUUUCGUCGCAUUUGCACAAAUUCUGUCAUGUUACUGUGGUCUUUUUAAAAGUCAAUAAAUAUGUGUGUAGAGUGUACAUGUUUGUUUCACUGUAGAUCUGUUUAAGACCUCCUAGAAACACCUAAUUUCAUCCCACAGCAUUAAUUAAUAAGCUGUGUAGAAGCUGUUUAGCCAUAAGUAAAGGCCUUUCAUAAAGCAGCUGUCAUGAUUGCAUGUCCCUUAUGUUUAACACGUAUUGCUUGUUACAGAAUACUACUGUUGUACAUUUAAUAUCCCCUAGCAGAUUUCGUUGCCUUUGCACAAAUUCUGUCAUGUUACUGUGGUCUUUUUAAAAGUCAAUAAAAAUGUGUGUAAAGUGUCCAUGUUUGUUUCACUGUAUAUUUGUUUAAGCCCUCCUAGAAACACCUAAUUAAAGGCCUUUCAUAAAGAGGCGGUCAUGAUUGCAUGUGCCUCAUGUUUAACACGUAUUGCUUGUUACAGAAUACUACUGUUGUACAUUUAAUAUCCCCUAGCAGAUUUCGUUGCCUUUGCACAAAUUCUGUCAUGUUACUGUGGUCUUUUUAAAAGUCAAUAAAUAUGUGUGUAAAGUGUA